GCCUAGCCAAGGAAGGGAGCCCAACCUAGCAAGAUAUUCCUGACCGAACAACUUGGUCACGAUUGCACACGUUCACAGAAAAUAUUGGUACUCCUUAUUAGUAUUUCACAAGUGUAGACUAGUCUCAUUUCAUGCAUCUAGCCUUUGUUUUUUCCGUUCACAGAAGAAAUUUUCAUCUAUUUUGGCGUUUUAAUUCGGCAGACAAGCUGAUCCGGAUACAGCUCACCAAAAUCCAACCAAGAAAAAAGAAAGAAAACGAGCUGGUGGUACUACUAAAUUCCAGUGCUACUCCAGGCACGGACUUCCGGCCGAAAGAAACCAACAAGCGUGUGCCGGAACGGGCCAGGAAGGAAGAGAGGCACUUCACCAACCAAGAGAAAUCUCCUCGCCUCAACCAAGACUCGACUUGGCUGGCCUCGGCCACUUCGAUCUCUCCACCUCUCCAGUAGGGUAGGAGUACCAGCGGGCAGCGGUGGCGGGGCCGAAUGGUGGUCUCCGUGAGCGCGGGCGGUGGGCUGGCGGACGGGUUCGGCCUCCUCUGCCCGUUCUUGGCCCGCUUGAUGAUGCCCAGGUUUUUAUGUUGCUGGUCUGGUCUAUGAGCUGCAAGCGACUGUCCAGUUGUCGGUCAGGGAAAUCAUAAUGUCAACAAGUGAAAACUUACGGGUGGAGUUAUUGUCCAGAACCCCGCCUUUUGGUUUGAGACUAUGGGUUGUGCUUGGCAUAAGCAUUUGGGCUGCAAUUCUGUUUGUCCUAGGCCUCAUAUGCUUCCUGUUGAUAUACUGGAGGAGACGAGGGAAUCAUCAUGAUAUUGCUGAGCCUGAAAUCCCAGAUGUAACCAAAGAGAUUGCAGUAGAUGAAGUUGGUAGCCGAGCUUUUGUGGAGAACAUCUGUGCCCCAGAAAGUCACAUCUUUCCAGUGAAGGAGAGAGAUCCAGAGAAAGAAUCGGGGAAAGUGUUCGCUCACUUGAUUACGAGCAAAUCAAGUGAUGAUCAUAAUUUGAUUGAGUGCAGCUCGCACCAAUAUGAUAGGGCCCAGGAGUUAUACUCUGGUGAUGAAGGCAGUUCAGCAUAUGAUAAGAGGGAGUACUCUCAGUGUGCCACCAUGUCCAUGUCUCCUCGGGCUGGUCUCCCAGAGUUCUCUCACCUGGGUUUGGGUCAUUGGUAUACUCUCAGAGAGUUGGAGCAUUCAACAAAUGGGUUCUCUAAUGAGUAUAUCAUUGGAGAGGGCGGAUAUGGGGUUGUUUAUCAUGGCUGUCUUGUAAAUGGAACUGAUGUUGCAAUCAAAAAACUUUUUAAUAACGUGGGCCAGGCAGAGAAAGAGUUCAGGGUCGAAGUUGAGGCCAUUGGUCAUGUUAGGCAUAAGAAUCUGGUGCGACUUCUGGGUUACUGUGUUGAGGGAAGCCACAGGAUGCUUGUCUACGAAUACAUCAGCAACGGCAACUUAGAACAGUGGUUGCAUGGUGCGAUGCGUCAACAAGGUGUUCUUACCUGGGAAGCCCGCAUAAAAAUUACCCUUGGCAUUGCUAAAGCACUGGCUUAUUUGCACGAAGGCAUAGAGCCAAAAGUUAUUCACCGUGAUAUCAAAUCAAGUAAUAUCCUUAUUGACGAAGAAUUCAAUGGAAAACUUUCUGACUUUGGAUUAUCUAAGCUCUUGGGUGAAGGGAAGAGCCAUAUAACUACUCGAGUUAUGGGGACUUUUGGCUAUGUAGCCCCUGAAUACGUAAAUACUGGACUGCUAAAUGAAAAGAGCGAUGUGUACAGUUUUGGGGUACUACUCUUGGAAGCCGUGACUGGAAGGGAUCCUGUUAACUACAGCCGGCCUGCCAAUGAGGUCCAUAUGGUGGAGUGGCUUAAACAGAUGGUUGGCAGCAGGAGAGCAGAGGAGGUGGUUGAUUCUGAAAUGGAGGCUAAACCAACUAAACAGGCUCUCAAGCGUGCUCUCCUAGUCGCGCUCAAGUGUGUAGACCCCGUUGCUGACAGAAGGCCUACUAUGGGUCAGGCCGUUCGUAUGCUCGAAGCAGAGGAUGGGCUAUCACGGGAGGAACGGAGGAAGAGCCGGCCGGCGCAUGUCGAUGGUGGAGACACCUGACCUGGGUUAGCAGUCCAAGUCAAGGCCGCGUGUGUUGAAAUUGCUUGCGAUAAGAAACAUCAUCUGGGACGUAAAAUGUAAAUAAAGCUUUCGCUGGCAAAAACAGAGGAUGAAAUAAGCCUUCUGCUUAUGAUCGUACUGGAUGGUAGAUUACUAUGAUGGGAAUCCACAUUCCACAAGAGUAAUUCCUGAUCGCGACUCUCAACUUCCAAAAGUCGCUGAAACAGCAUAUGCAUUUUCGAAAUGUACAUCAAGUAGGCUGAUAGUACUGGGUAGCGAGAACUUGUUUGCCAGUACAUUUGUAUUUAUCUAUGUUUUAGUUGAUCAAGUCACUUAGAGCAACUCCAAAGUGCCGACCUAUU
rnacentral:rRNA from 1 species